CCCGUAAUCGUCGGCAGCCUGAGCAGUAUGCCGCGUGGGUGAAGAAGGCCUUCGGGUUGUAAAGCCCUUUCCGUGGGGAAGAAAUCGGCCGGGCGAAUAGUCUGGUUGGAUGACGGUACCCGCAGAAGAAGCACCGGCUAACUACGUGCCAGCAGCCGCGGUAAUAGG
rnacentral:rRNA from 1 species